AAACAUAAAUGCUAUAUUAAAAUAAAAUUCGCCAGGGAACUACAGACAUUAGUUUAAAACCCAAAGGACUUGGCGGUGCUUAACAUCCCCCUAGAGGAGCCUGUUCUAUAACCGAUACUCCCCGCUAAACCUCACCCCCCCUUGCCAAUUCCGCCUGUAUACCGCCGUCGCCAGCUUACCCUACAAAGGACCCAAAGUAAGCACAAUCGGUAAUACCUAAAACGUCAGGUCAAGGUGCAGCGUACGGGGGGGAAAGAAAUGGGCUACAUUUACUAGUUUGUAGUAAACACGAAUGAUAACCUGAAACAGUUGUCUGAAGGAGGAUUUAGAAGUAAGCCAGAAACAGAGUGUCUC
rnacentral:rRNA from 1 species